UAGGGAAACCGAGUCUUAAUUGGGCGUUAAGUUGCAGGGUAUAGACCCGAAACCCGGUGAUCUAGCCAUGGGCAGGUUGAAGGUUGGGUAACACUAACUGGAGGACCGAACCGACUAAUGUUGAAAAAUUAGCGGAUGACCUGUGGCUGGGGGUGAAAGGCCAAUCAAACCGGGAGAUAGCUGGUUCUCCCCGAAAGCUAUUUAGGUAGCGCCUCGUGAAUUCAUCUCCGGGGGUAGAGCACUGUUUCGGCUAGGGGGCCAUCCCGGCUUACCAACCCGAUGCAAACUGCGAAUACCGGAGAAUGUUAUCACGGGAGACACACGGCGGGUGCUAACGUCCGUCGUGAAGAGGGAAACAACCCAGACCGCCAGCUAAGGUCCCAAAGUCAUGGUUAAGUGGGAAACGAUGUGGGAAGGCCCAGACAGCCAGGAUGUUGGCUUAGAAGCAGCCAUCAUUUAAAGAAAGCGUAAUAGCUCACUGGUCGAGUCGGCCUGCGCGGAAGAUGUAACGGGGCUAAACCAUGCACCGAAGCUGCGGCAGCGA
rnacentral:rRNA from 2 species